GCGGAAUUGCCAGUACUGCCAUUCCCAUGUGACGGGCGCGCCCGGACCCGGAGCCCGCCCCCCGCCGGAUGAAAAUCUUUUCUCUUUUGUCCGCCCCCUCGCGAAUUUUUAUAGUUCUGAACCAUCUUUGCGCCCCUUGCGGGCUUUUAAAAAAUGAAUCAAAAGUUUCAGGAACGGAUCUCUAGGUUCUGGAAUCGAUGAAAAACGCGUGAAAAUGCGAUAAGUAAUGUGAAUUGCAUCUUUCAACGAAUCAUCGAACCUUUGAACUUCUGUUGGGCCCGCCUGUAUUAUGGCGGUUUUGCCUGUCCGAGCCCUCUUUCAGCCCUCGAACCCCUCCGGGGGACCCGCAUUGGGGAUCCCCCCUUCCCAGGGCCGGCCCCGAAAUACCCUGGCGGUCUCGCCGCAACCUCUCCUGCAAGUAGUUUGCACAAAACUCCCAAACCCAAUGUUAAUUUGGCCAGGUUAUUUGGAAAAAGAACCCCAAACCCCAAGGUUAUUGGGGCAGACUUUUUUGA
rnacentral:rRNA from 1 species